rnacentral:tRNA from 1 species
AGGAUUUUAAGUUAAUUUAAACUAUAUACCUUCAAAGUAUAAAAUAAUCUAAUAAUUAAAUCUUA